rfam:Salmo salar isolate Sally breed double haploid chromosome ssa20, whole genome shotgun sequence.
UGGCACAGUUGGUAGAGCAUGGUGUUUGCAACGCCAGGGUUGUGGGUUCGAUUCCCAC